AAUUUGUUAGACCCCCCUGGACAAUUUGAAUUACCUGUUUUACCCUUUUAGUUUCAAUUUAAUGAGUGCCCUAACCUCACAAUUUAACCAGCGUUUCUUUUUUCUCUCUUUCAACUCUCGUUUUCUUCAAUCUCUCUUACCACAGCCCCUUUGCCGCCCACCGCCACUCCACCGCCGCCCGCCGCCGCCCACCGCCGACCACCGUCGUUCCCCCUUUAGCUAGCGCCUCUUUUCGUCUGCCUUAUGCCGCUCUCCCUUUCGGCGACAUCGUCGUCCAUCACCACUCCCCUCUUUGCCAGAUCUACUCUCAUUAAACUAUUUCUCGCCAGAUCUGGCGCCGACGAAGAAGAGGAAGAAAAGGCGCAACAUAUACAUGAGCUACGGCGACGCACUGCUUCUUCAUCUUUAAUUUCUUCUUUGCUGCACAAUAUUAUAAUACAAUUUGCUAGUGAAUUUGACGGAUGAUGAAGAAUCCGUGUUAUAGAAGCUUAUGCAACCCUUCUUCUUGCAUUUCGUUUUAUGGAAAGAUCUGGCGCCGACAAAGAAGAGGAAGAAGAAGCGCCGCGGAUGCCGGGUGGUGACGGGUUAGGUGUGACGGCGUAAAGCGCCGGCGAUAGUUGGUGACAACUUCAAUGCAAGGCAGCGCGGCGUUAUCAUAUCUAAAGGUUUUGCUUGUAUUAUAAUUUUAUGAGAUGAAGAGAAUAAGAUGCGGUGAAGUGCCUUGUGAAGUUGGAUUCAUGCUACAGUAGUCUAGACUUUAUGUCACUACAUAUAAAUAUAACCAUAAAUAAUUGUAGAAAACUAUAGUCACAUGUAGUAACAUAUAUGUGUACUAUAGGUUUGUUUAAUGUACAAUAAUGCUUGUUCAUGUUUGAAGAAUAUAUGCAUGUGAUUAUGUUUUGUCAUUUU